rnacentral:lncRNA from 1 species
GCAAGGAGGAGAAGGGCAUUCUAGAGAUGCACAGACUAGAGCAGAGCAAUACAUCAUGCAAGAUCCAAGGUUUUCCCUACGGUGUGUGCAAGAAGGCGAGUCAGGGUGCCACAAGAGAUAGGGCAUUCCUGUAAACUUAUAUUCAUGAAGAAAGUCAGAGUACUUGUUGCAGAUGCAAUGCUAGGUCUUCAGCCAUGUGCUAUAGAAACAGAAGGUGACAAAUAUAACCAAGGAUUGGGAGGAGAAAAAGAAGAAAGCCAAUUUGGGAAAUGAGACUGUAAAGUUUAUAAUGCUACUGAUUUUCAAACAUUUUCAGAAGCAAUGGAAAGAAGAAUGCGAAGAAAAUGAGUUUAUUUUCCAAAAUGCUUUUUUUGUUAUUGUUUUGCAAUUUCCCUUUGUUAACAUCAUAUAGGUUAUGGGGGUUUCUGUUUUGAAAAAAAUAAAUACUGCACCGUGUGUGGAUUGCUACUCAGCACUCAGCAAUAAACAAGUCAAUGAAUGCUC